AGGACGAACGCUGGCGGCGUGCUUAACACAUGCAAGUCGAACGGAAAGGCCCAGCUUGCUGGGUACUCGAGUGGCGAACGGGUGAGUAACACGUGGGUGAUCUGCCUUGCACUCUGGGAUAAGCCUGGGAAACUGGGUCUAGUACCGGAUAUGACCUCUGACUGCAUGGUUGGGGGUGGAAAGCUUUUGCGGUGUGAGAUGGGCCCGCGGCCUAUCAGCUUGUUGGUGAGGUAAUGGCUCACCAAGGCGACGACGGGUAGCCGACCUGAGAGGGUGAUCGGCCACACUGGGACUGAGACACGGCCCAGACUCCUACGGGAGGCAGCAGUGGGGAAUAUUGCACAAUGGGCGCAAGCCUGAUGCAGCGACGCCGCGUGGGGGAUGACGGCCUUCGGGUUGUAAACUCCUUCCGCCAGGGACGAAGCGCAAGUGACGGUACCUGGAGAAGAAGCACCGGCCAACUACGUG
rnacentral:rRNA from 1 species